rnacentral:rRNA from 1 species
GAUGAACGCUGGCGGCGUGCUUAAUACAUGCAAGUCGAGCGAGGACCACCCGUUGGCAACACCGGGUGACUCCUAGCGGCGAACGGGUGAGUAACACGUGGGCAACCUGCCCCCGACUCUGGGAUAAGCCCGGGAAACUGGGUCUAAUACCGGAUACGAGCCUCCUCCGCAUGGUGGAGGCUGGAAAGGGUCUCCGGUCGGGGAUGGGCCCGCGGCCUAUCAGCUUGUUGGUGGGGUGACGGCCCACCAAGGCGACGACGGGUAGCCGGCCUGGGAGGGUGAACGGCCACACUGGGACUGAGACACGGCCCAGACGCCAACGGGAGGCAGCAGUAGGGAAUCUUGCGCAAGGGGCGAAAGCCUGACGCAGCGACGCCGCGUGCGGGACGAAGGCCCUCGGGUUGUAAACCGCUUUCAGCAGGGACGAAGCGAAAGUGACGGUACCUGCAGAAGAAGGUCCGGCCAACUACGUGCCAGCCGCCGCCGUAAGAC